ACAAUUAUACAGCAAAGUCUCCUGGGAGGGUUUAUAUGUUAAGCUCUGUCAGUAAUUUCUCCCCUAGCAAGAAUGAGGGAGAUGAAGAGCUUGGGUAUCAGGGCAGGUGUGUCUGCAUGCAUGUGUGUUUUGGGGGCAGACUGAAGGAAGAGAAGGCUGGAGAGAGGGAACAUGGGUCUGAGGGCACAUCGCUAAGGGGUCAAGAGGCCUAAAGGAGGAGUCUAAGGCUCUCCAUCGAACUUGGACUUGGUCUACAUUAGACUUUAACCUCCAUGAGGCUUGGACUUUCAGGCUUCCGCCCUCACACUGCGGGCAGGUGAGGCGUCUGCUACAGGCCUGGUCUCGCAGAGGUGGCCCAGCGCCCCCCGCCGCCGCCUUCUCCUGGAGUCUGUGUGACAGAAUGGGACCUGUGGGAAAGCAGCACGUCAGCACCCAGUCCCGCUUGCGCGCCAGCAGCUAAUUAAAGCCAGGAAGGUGAUGGCGAUUUUCAACUCAUUCCCGUUAUAAACAGCCGACCUUCCUACCGAGUUCAAGUACCUUCUGCCUGGCCUGGAAGAACAAUAUCUCUCUGUCUCCCUCUUCCACUGGCCCUCACCUGCCUUCCCUGAACAUGCAUUUUGCCUGACAGGAGGCAGAGGUGGUUGAGAUGCAUUCUUGCUAUACGGCCCAGCUGGUAAUGCCUAGAUGCCUGAGUCCCUCCCUGGCUCAUCCCUGGGAGCAGCACCAAACCCCAUGUCUGACACCUGUCCGGAAAUGGAGCCUGCACAUUGACCCUAGCCAUGUGUGAUCUUGUUACUAAAUGUUAGCCAGUGAGAUAACAUACAAGAGGAGGCCCAUGUUGAUUCAGAGGAUGAAUGAGAGGUGCUUGCAGCUUGGUCCAGGAGGCCAGCAGGACCAGACAGAAGACCACAGCGACACAUGGGGAUGGCUGUCCCACAGGCAGAAAUGAGCAGCCGGGAGGAAGCCUGGGCAGCCAGCCACCCAGCUCCCUCCACAUCGUGGCCCUAGAACGGAGUCUUGAAGAAUAAGAAGCCACAGCUUGUCAGGGAAUCAGGCUGGAAAAAUGUUAUGAGACUGAGUAAGACCAGAG
rnacentral:lncRNA from 1 species